CGCACCUUGCGCUCUGUGGUAUUCCGCAGAGCAUGCCUGUUUGAGUGUCGCGCUCCCUUCUCAACCCCAUCUCUAGUCCUCUAGGGUGCGGGCUUGGAUCGUGGCCCCAGCGGCUGAUGUCGAAAGACGAAAGCCGCGGGCCGAAAUGCGCGCCAGCACAUACCUGCUGCAUGGCUAGACUGACGUUGUACGCAUCCUCGUCCGGUCGCGGCUUGCAGACACAGUUGCUACGAAUUCAACUUUUUGAACUUUCGACCUCAAAUCAGGCAGGACUACCCGCUGAACUUAA
rnacentral:misc_RNA from 1 species